AGUGAAAUUGCUGAGUCAUGUAGUAAUGAUUGUCUAACUUUUUGAGGAACUGCCAGAUUGUUUUCUAAAGUGACUGCACCAUUUUACAUUCUCACCAGCAAU
rnacentral:pre_miRNA from 1 species